rnacentral:rRNA from 1 species
AUGGACGUGCACUCAGCUCCGUCUUGCCCUACUGAGACGAGGGCACCUGUUGAGCAUCUAAUUGGGCAGUUUGCAUCUGGAAUGACCGGCUUGCUCGGGAAGUUGGUUGAGGGGUGGACGACUCUUAGUGGCUCUGACAGCGACGCUGUUGCGAGGCAGUUCACUUCGUUUGUCCUAGAACGGACACAUCGGCCAACUGGUUGCCGUGGCCGGUACGACUACAACAGUUCCCAAGAGCUCGCUGACACACAAGAUGAACUAGGUGGAGACGCUGGUAUCAGCAAGGAUGACGAUGAUGACACGGAUAACACGGAAGAGGAAACCGAUGAUGAUGAACACGCUGAAGUUCGUGCAGGUGCUAACAAGGGGAAGGAUGCACCAUAUGUCCUCCCACCGGAGAAAGUCAAAGAACGUACGGCUGCGAGAGGCGAGGGGGUGUUGCCAUCAAAGAGGGGGAGGGCUCCAGAGGAUGUUGGGCAGGGUUCUCCUGGCAAGAGGGUGAAGAAGACUACUGCACGUGUGGUCAAGCAUACCAUUAGGGACCCACUCGAACGUCUUCAUUCAAAGUUGUCAACAGGUGGCAACUCAGAUGUUCAUGAGGCGCCAGGCAACAAAACUGCUGCUGCACCGCCAACUGUUCCCACUAACUCUGACGCAAGUGGCCGACCAUCUCCACCUGCUGCAGAUGUGCUUCCUAGAACAACGGGCCUCCGUACAUCGGGGAGUGACGACUUGGUAUCUGCCAGGACCGCUGAAAUAUUGCCCACCCUACUGGCAAUGAAGGAUGCUGCUGUGAGCCACGCCACCCCAUCAGGAAGUGUUGAAGUGGAUGCCCCCGAGACCAACCUAAGCAAAGGAAGAUUCCCGCUCAUCUGA